CUGCGCGCGCUUUGACGAGCGGUUGCUCAAACCGACACGUGAUUGGAACUCAGUUACGAUCUUAAGAGGCCGCACGUGCAGAUUCUGAACCAAGGGUUUGACUCGUUUAUCUUCGUGAGAAUUGGAAAAGGAGAGCGUGUAGGCCGUGUACCUUCAGCGUACCGAGUGGGAGCGGGACACACUAUUAGAGAGCGAUAUUUCCCGAAUAGGCUAAGCCCAACGCAACGUUUACGUGCAUCCGGUGGAUUCGUACGUAACUUCGGCGAUCAGUUUCCCAGGCUCGAGUCUGAGAAAUUUUAGUGACUCGAUCACAUUCUCCUAACCCGUGGAACGAUUCGGAAGUGCAGUGAAUUUGCUGGAGUUGUAACAAGCUAGGCCGAUAGAAAAGUAGUGCGAUAGAUAGCUAGCUUUUGUGACCUUUGUGCGAGAACCUGCGAAGAAAGGCAGCGUGGUCACAAGUUUACUUGUCUCCGGCGGCUUCC